rnacentral:SRP_RNA from 1 species
UGGGCUGUGUUGUGCUAUGCCAAUCAGGCGUCCACACUAAGUUUGGCAUCAACACGGUGACCUCUUGGGAGCAGGGGGACCACCAGGUUCCUAAAUAGGGGUGAACCGGCCCAGGCCGGAAACAGAGCAGGUUAAAACUCCCGUGCUGAUUAGUAAUGGGAUAGUGCCUGUGAACAGCCACUGUAUUCCA